UACGUAGGUGGCAAGCGUUGUCCGGAUUUAUUGGGUUUAAAGGGUGCGUAGGCGGUCUAUUAAGUCAGUGGUGAAAUACUAGCUCAACUAGAGGGGUGCCAUUGAUACUGAUGGACUUGAGUAUAGAUGAGGUAGGCGGAAUUGACGGUGUAGCGGUGAAAUGCUUAGAUAUCGUCAAGAACACCUAUAGCGAAGGCAGCUUACUAGGCUGUAACUGACGCUGAGGCACGAAAGUGUGGGGAUCAAACAGG
rnacentral:rRNA from 1 species